rnacentral:lncRNA from 12 species
ACAUUUUGUGUGUUGUUUGCCCAUGUUCAUAUCUCUAAAAUAUCGUCUCAUGGUUCUUUGCUCAGUGAUCCUUGCAAAUUGCUGGUGUGUGGGAAAUCCUGUGAAGAAGGAUAUGCCAGGCCCUCUGUUGGAGAAGCUGAGCUGGGAGAGGAGAAGCAAAUAACCUUGAAGACCGAGUGAGCGACAAGUCAGGAGAGAAGCUUAAAGAGUGUCACAAUGAGGGAGAACUGGAAUCAUUGUCAUGCUGCAAGAGCUAUUAAAAAUGAGAGUUGGAAAAAUGUCUCAGAAGUUGGAGAAGGAAAGCGCAAUUAAAAGGGGGUUUUGAACCUGUAGGUGAGGAGAUUACAGAAACAAUUAGAGGAAUGUGAGGAAUGAUACAUAGAUGAGCAGUUUAUGACUAUUUGAAACUUCUGGAGUAGUUUGGCGGGGAGGGAAUUCCACGUAACCUGGGAAAGAAUGAACAUGAAGUCUUGUAUAUAUGGGCUGAUCAUUGUAUGAAAUUAGGGCAAUACAAUUAACUUUUCCAUUUUUCUCAUUAGUUAAAUGGGAUAAUAGUAAUCACAUGGAAAUAAGCAUACUAGCACAGUACCCAGUAUGUGCUGGUUUAAACAAAAAGAAGAAAAAGAAAAAUAAGCCUGCCUAUACCUAAGACUUUUUAUCAUCAAAUACUCUGACAGGAUUGUAAAGCUCCAUUUUUGUUUAAGUGACAUCUAUGAUCUAUAGCUGAUAAAUAAUAAUUGAGUAUUUGAAGAGAUUUUAACACUGAGGUAUUUAUAAAAUGUUGUAAUCAUUUGGUGAGGAAUCUAUAACAUUAGCACAGCUCUUAAAAGCUACUGGUUUACUAAAUCAUGUAAAGGAUCAAGUUCUUAGCAACUCUAGUUUUACAAAUAUAAGACCAAUGACUUGAUUCUUUAAACAAAUAUUCUUAGUCCCAUCCCAAUCUAUGUCCCUGCUUUAUCUAUUGCUUAAUUUGAGUUGAUUAGUACCCUUAAAUUAAGAAUUAAAAUUUUAAUUUCAUGAGUCAUGGAAAAGAUGGUGUUAAACCAUAUUAUAGCCCAUUAGAAAGGGAUGCCAGAAACUAUUUGACAGAACUCAUGGCCUAAAUGUAAACUCUAUGAGGUCAGGGACAUUUUUUCUUCAUUUCCCUCCUGAUCUAUUUUUUAGUGCUUAAAACAAGGCUUUGCCACAAAUAGGUACUUAAUAAAUAUUUGGGAAGAGAAUUAAUGAAUAAAUGG